rnacentral:rRNA from 1 species
UACGUAGGGUGCGAGCGUUAAUCGGAAUUACUGGGCGUAAAGCGUGCGUAGACGGUCAAGUAAGUCGGGUGUGAAAGCCCCGGGCUCAACCUGGGAAUUGCAUUCGAGACUGCGUGGCUAGGGCGCGGAAGAGGGAAGCGGAAUUUCCGGUGUAGCGGUGAAAUGCGUAGAUAUCGGAAGGAACACCAGUGGCGAAAGCGGCUUCCUGGUCCAGCACCGACGUUCAGGCACGAAAGCGUGGGGAGCAAACAGG